rnacentral:tRNA from 1 species
GCUUUCUUAGCUCAGUGGUAGAACAUGUGGUUUUUAACUACGUGGUUGUGAGUUUGAUCCCCAUAGGUGGCG